rnacentral:misc_RNA from 1 species
CAACCCUCAGGCUCCGGCCUGGUGUUGGGGCACGCCCCGCGGCGCCUGCCGCGCGGUCCCCUAAAGUCAUCGGCGGUGCCUGCCAGCACUCCGGGCGCAGUAAUACACCUCGCCCUGGACGUCUGGCGGCGCUCCGGCCGCUAAACCGCCCACCGCCCCCCGGGAGCGGUGGCACUUCUCACAA